rnacentral:lncRNA from 1 species
AACGACCACAACCACCACGACGACAACCACCACAACGACCACAGUGCCUACCACCACUACCACAACCACAACAACGACAACGACCACAGUGCCUACCACAGACACAACGAUGACCACGGUGACUACUGAGGUCAUAGAGGAGGAGACCACGGUGCCUGAGGUUGUCCGCCAGAGCCCGGCCCCCAGCAAUCCUCUCUUGUACCCCACACUCAUCCCAUCCCUGGUUGUGAUCCCACUGCUGAUUGUCUGCAUCUGCUGCUACAAGAGGGUUGUCCAAGAGCCACCACCAGCCCAGAAACCAGAAAGGGUAAGUUCUCUGUUUCGUCCUGCUGUUCUCAGCAUGUGUGAUGCCCACAGUGACCUGCACAGAGAGGGUCCCUGCCGCCUUUGGGGAGGUGUCCUCUCCCUGCCCCUGCAGCUCCCACCUACUUGGGCAGAAAGAAGUGACAGAGGGGCAGGGAAGGGCCCCAGGGAGGACAUGGGAUUCAAAUGUCACGUAGGCAAAGCCAUUCUCGAACUCCCAGCAUAGCCUGAUCCAAGGCCAUCAUCAGUGAAUCAGCAACAUGGGGUAGCCUGUCUCAGAAACAGCUAUGAUCUCUCUUGAAAUGACUGGGCUUUCUGCCAGUUCCCAAGGGACUGCCUGUAGGAUGGUCCUUCCCCAGGACUCGGGUGAGCUUUUAGAAAAGGAUCCUCAGGUGUCAUGGACCAAGUCCCCAUCCCCGGACUCUGGUGUAUGUUUUGCUCCCUUUCCUUGGUCCUCAUCCCCGUCUCAUGUCAGGGCACGGGUCUCGGCAGGGUUGGCCUUUAGGGACAGCGGGGCUGAGGAGGGUGGAGGGAGUCUUCCCUGGCAUUGAGCCGGGAGGGAGGUGCAGCCCAGGUGAGCACAGGGACCAAGGGUCAGGUGAGCAGCUGUGGCCCACCCGGGGUGGCACCCCACACCAGAGGCCAUAAGAGACAGUUAUGGCAGGGGUGCGGUGUCCCAAGGAAGGGGAACCUGGGCCUGAGAGCUUGGGAAAGAGCGUCACUGCCUGGGCUGGUUUCUACUCUGGGUGCUAUGUGGCUUCAGGGAGGCUGGGUCUACCAGAGUUGGGUGAACACAGCCCUGUAGGUGCUAAUGCCCACACCCCUGACGGCCCCCAUCACAUGGCACAGCCUGGAGCCCAGCCUCCCCAGCAAGGGCGGGCUGCGGGAAGCAAGGAGACAGGAUAGGGGUUAUAGGCCUUUGGAGGGGAGUCCUCUUUGUAAACCAAAAGUUGUUGGUGUGUUUUUCACAUGGAGGCCACUCUCUUACUGUGCCGGGUGCUGCUCAUUGGUCCCCGAUUCUCCACCAGACAUUCUGAGUGGCCAGUACUUGGCAGGUGCAGGAGCAACAGAUGUCAUGUGUCUGCACCCAGGAGCUGCCAGACAAGGAAGCAGACAAUUCUUUUUUUCUUUCUUGAAGCCGUGCCCUGUACACAAAUGUACCACAGUGAUUGUCCCCUACUGUGAGUGCGAGGAAGACAGUAUAAGACGGAUGGAGG